GCUCCGAUAGGUCAAUGGUAGACCGGCCUGAUGCUUUCAUUUGCACUCGAUAUAUGGCAGGCAGAUGUGGGUUCGACUCCCGCUUGGAGCG